rnacentral:lncRNA from 1 species
CCCCCUCCUCUUUCCUUUCGUAGAAAUAAAUUGUUCGUCCCUUGCACAAGUCACAGACAUCUGUACAAUGUUCUAAGCUAUAUAUCUCGAUGAUAGAUGUAAGGUUAAAAUAUAUAAAUAUAACAAAGACUUCCAUCAUGAUCUUGCAGAUAUCCGUCGCAGAUCAAGUAGAGAGUAAAGGUUGUGUCAACGUCUCCUAGUUGUCCCCCCCCUUAAAAUUUGAAAAUCUCAUUUCUAAGAAUAAAAUAAUCCAAAAAUUAUUCUUCACGGCAGUAUUUCUAACGUUUUAGGAAACACGACUCCCCUUUUUUUAAAUUCGUUUGUUCAUCCACCCCUGGAUAAACUCAGGGAAAUGAAUGACGAACUUUGUGUAUACGGAUAAGAGCAUGAAUACAUGUGGAUAGUCUGGGCAUAUAUUUCAUACAAAAAUGUUUGUAAAAUAUUGUACAUUGUUCUGGUCUUGAUCACAAGAACGACAACAUUUGUAUCAUCGAAAAUAUGCCUGUGCUAUUUGUAACUUGACGUUUAACAUUCAUCAGUUUAUUUUAUUUAUAGAAUCAUCCGAUGGAAAACUACUUCAGUUUAUACUUGAAAAUUG